rnacentral:rRNA from 1 species
UACAGAGGUGGCAAGCGUUGUUCGGAUUUAUUGGGCGUAAAGGGUCCGUAGUCGGCCUGGAAAGUUGGAUGUGAAAUCCCACAGCUUAACUGUGGAACUGCAUUCAAAACUUCUAGGCUCGAGUGUGAUAGGGGUAAUGGGAAUUCCCGGUGUAAGGGUGAAAUCUGCAGAGAUCGGGAGGGACACCAGUCGCGAAGGCGCAUUACUGGAUCACUACUGACGAUGAGGGACGAAAGCCAGGGGAGCAAACGGG